rnacentral:lncRNA from 1 species
AAGAAAAAUAAAUAAAUAAAUAAAUAUGUAUAUAAAUGAACGAAUAAAUAAAUAAAUAAAAUAAUAAAUAAAUAUAUUUCAAUGAAAUAAAAUAAUAAAUAAAUAAAUAAAUAAAAAUAUUAGUAAUUAUUUAACCAAUUUUUUCACCUAGUUAGAAAAUUUGUUAGAGAAAUAUAUGGUCGUCAAAAGAGUAAAAAAUUAAUUUAUACUAAUAAUUAUAAUAUUUUAUACAUUUAUUAUUGUAUUAUACUAUAAAUAUAAUAUAAUAUAAUAUUAUGUUAUGUUAAAUAAUUU